AUGGCUAGUAAUUGGAGUUUCAGACAAUUUGGGGAGGUAAUUUGUAGCCAAUAUCCUUGGGGUUUGCUUGAUGAAGUGGUAUACAAAUACUAUAAUGGGGAAAAGAAUUGGGUGACAGUUAGUAAUGAUGAAGAGCUAGCUACCAUGUUUGUUAGGCAUAAAGAGAAAGAUAAUUUUCAUGUGAGGCUGCAAGUUGAUGUGCUUGAGCAGGCAUUUGGACCUAGGAUGGCGGGUGCAACAUCUCGGGGAGAAUCAAGUCGUCGUAAUGGCAUCUCUAGCCAGAACAGUUCAGUUCGUGUGCGGCGACGUGGUGGCUCGACAAGUGUGGGCAACAGCAGUAGGGUCCCCCUUGAAGUGGAGCCUGAUGGCUACAAUUCUGGGGUUGAUGAAGAGAAGUUAUAUUCUGAUGUUAUUCAGAAUUUACGACGGGCACCUCGGGCUGAAAACCAAGAUGAGGCUCACAAUGCAGUCCGUGUGGAUGAUGACGCGAUGGGUGAGGACGAAGACCUUGCAGCUGUUGAAUGGGACCCUUUGAACCCUCAAAUGGAAGAAGGUACAAUUUUUGCAUCCAUGAAUGAGUGUAGAAAUGCACUUGUGACAUACUGCAUCAAGGUAGAACGUACUUUCAAAGUUGACAAGAGCGAUCAAGUACGUUAUAGAGUGCACUGUCCGACUGAGGGUUGUCCAUGGAGGCUGCUUGCAGCUAAAAUGCGGAAUAGCACUAAUGUUCAGGUCAAAGUGAAUCCUUUUAAGCACACAUGCCAGGAAUCAACCCUUAGGAAGGAUACAAUCAGUAGAGCCAAGUCAAGAUGGGUGGCAGAAGAAGUAAAAAAGUGGGUGAAAGAAAACCAGCAAGUGGGUCCAAAGGAAUUGCAGAAGAACAUCAAAGAUAAGUUCAAGAUAGAUUUACCAUACAUGAGGUUGUUCAAUGGUAAACAACAUGCUAUGGGUCCAGCAGGGAACAUACAGCAAUGA
rnacentral:rRNA from 1 species